GACGAACGCUGGCGGCGUGCUUAACACAUGCAAGUCGAACGGAAAGGCCCUGCUUGCAGGGUACUCGAGUGGCGAACGGGUGAGUAACACGUGGGUGAUCUGCCCUGCACUUCGGGAUAAGCCUUGGAAACUGGGUCUAAUACCGCAUAGGAGCCAUUUUUAGUGUGAUGGUUGGAAAGUUUUUUCGGUGUAGGAUGAGCUCGCGGCCUAUCAGCUUGUUGGUGGGGUAAUGGCCUACCAAGGCGGCGACGGGUAGCCGGCCUGAGAGGGUGGACGGCCACAAUGGGACUGAGAUACGGGCCAGAAUCCUACGGGGGGCAGCAGGGGGGAAUAUUGCACAAUGGGGGGAAGCCUGAUGCAGCGAAGCCGCGUGGGGGAUGACGGCCUUCGGGUUGUAAACGCCUUUCGCUAGGGACGAAGCUUUUUGUGACGGUACCUAGAUAAGAAGCACCGGCUAACUACGUG
rnacentral:rRNA from 1 species